ensembl:lncRNA
GGCUGUUGUUUGCUGUAAUUGCAUUUGCUCAGCAGCUUCUACUGCCAGGCUGGAGCUUGGCCAGAGAGGAAGGUACUGGGUGCCCCACACUGCUAAUGAGCCCCUAAUGAUGGCACCUGGGGUGGGCAAUUAACCCUCCCCUCCCUGCCAGCCCCCAGCAGAGGCUUCUUGUCCUAAAGCCAAGCUGAAGGGCAAAUCUAUGGGGUUGGAUCCUCCCUCUAAUUAGACUCCUGAUAAAGCAGCUGGGACAGAAUAACUCCAAAAGGUGUAUGCAGAGGCAAAGGAAAGCCACCAGCACUUCUCACCAGCCACAAGGACAAGAGACGAUGGCCUCAAGAUGUGCCAAGAGAGGUUCAGAAUAUCUUAGUCCAGAAGCUUGGAGCUCCUCACAGCCUUGCAGCUCCUCACAGCCUGGAGAAGAAAGACAAAGAGCUGGACUGAACUGGAGUCAGCACACAACUCUGAUGACUCUUCAUACCUACAUAUUCUACAAAGUCACUCUAAAGAGAUGUGGCUGAACUCAACAAAGUCCUCAUAAUGGGACGAAGUGACACUGCAGCAGUGUGAAAUUCCAGAAGAGAAGCUUACAGGCUUCAAGGAGAAGCAAGAAGCAGCAGCUCCCUACCAGGCCAGCCAAGAGCCACAGCUUUUCUGAUACUCCUGCUGGUGGUUGGCCACACGGCUGCACAAAGCCACCACCCUGCAGAGCGUGGGCCUUGCGUCUGCCUGGGAGCCAGGUCCCAUCUGGCUGUAAUUACCAGCUUCACAUCAGCAGAAAAAUGCAAUGUUUAAACACAAAUGUUCGAUGUUUGCAUAGCAAACCCUGGGACAGAAAGCUCUUGAUAAUCAGCCUGCAGGAGAGGAGGUGGUGCUGUGCAGGUGAGCCCUGAGCUGUAUGGCAGAGUUAGAGCAGGACUCCGUGGGAC